rnacentral:lncRNA from 1 species
GGGAGUCACGCCAGCUCCAACCAGGUCUAGAACCCAAACCUUCAACCCCUGAGCUUUCCUGCCUUCGAGUCCUCGGAGCUCUCCUGGAGGCUGAGCAGGCAACAGAGCCUGCUCCUCAGCUGGAUGUGGCCCGUGGGAGGUGGAGAAACUGAGGCUCAGAUAAAUGACUAAGAAGUAAAGUGAGGUCCCAUAGCCAGUGAAUGGCAGAGCAGGGAUUCGAACCCAGGUCUCUCAUCUGGGAAGUGGGAUGAUAGCGCCAACCUAGCUGGAUUGCUGUGACUGCCAGCACAAUGCCUUCUAAGGGUUCAAGAUGAGAUUACUUAGUCCCAGAUGGGUUAAGUAACUGGCCCAAGGUCACAGCGCUGGUAAGCAACUGGGCUUCAAUCCAACCAUCCUGACUCCAGAAGCCUCUUUGAACUACCACCUUCUGCACCUGCCCCAGGGCUUCUUCGCCUGAGCCGGUGCCUUGCUGCCGCCCUGCUCAUCUCUUCUGGGAAGAUGCCUCUCAUCUUGCCAGUCCUCAAGCCAGAAGCCUCCGGUGCUGCCCUAGGGCUCCCUGAAUAGGCAUCCCUAAGGCAUCCCUCCUGGUGUUCAAACCACAUCCUUCCUGGCUAAGCUUCCAUUCCCCAGGGUAGCCCUCCACACUUUGGAGCCUCAGCUCACCUCUCACUCUCACACUUCAGUUUCACACUUCCCUUCUGAAUGGUCCCACCUCUGUGCUUUUGCUUAAGCUGUGCACACUUCCCAGAGUGCUCUUUCCCCUAUGUCUGCCUGUGCUCCAAUACCCUAUGCCUGAGCUGACCCAUGACAUACAAGCACCUACAGAGGCCUGGGGGAAGGAGGCAGUGGUAUGUGUGUCAGUGUGGGGAGUCAGUGAAGAGGUUUGGGGCUUUAGGGUCAGUUAUGUGACUUCAGGGCAAGUCCCCAUCUCCCUGAACCCCAGUUUCUGCAAAAUGAAGAUAUCCAUCCCAGCUUCUCCCAAGGUUUAUAAUGGUAAUCUGUGAGGUUCUGGCACAUGAUGAAUCCAUAACUACCCGUUGUGACAAGUUCCCCACUUGUGAAGUCAAAUGAAGACCCCCUGGUGUUGACAGUGCAGGAAAACCUGUGCCCGAGCACCUUGUCCCUAGGGAGAACCCUACCUUCAGUGCCUCUCUGAACAACAGGGCCAGGAAGGGGUCACUGUAUAGCAGUUGGUCCCUAGUGACCAGUCCUGGCAGAGGGCCUUUAUCCCACUUCCAGUAGCCCAGCACCAACCAUCCCCAGCUCUGGGAGGGGGUGGGCAGCACCCUCCUUCCUCCACAUUGUUGCCACCUCAGAGAGUCAGAAUCCAGGGAGACAGUCUCCUGGCAGCGGAGCUCCUGCUGCCCGCCAUGGGUGUCUGUGAUGCUGCCGUGCCCACUGGGGGCUGCAGGCACUCCAGCAUCAGGAUGGACUAAAUCUCGGGAGUGGGAAGGGGACUCCAGCCAGGGGCACUGGAGACAGGGCCAGCCUGAGUGCCUGCUUCUCCCAGGGGCAGGUGCCAGCAUGGUGCACCCCUCAAGGAGUGUGGCAGGUAAGAUUGAGGUCCUGGCUGCCCCAGGCUCCUGUGCCAUCGAGAGGGAAAGCACCUGGAACAGGUAUACAGUAGAUGCUUAGUGAUGAGGAGAAUCUUCACUUGGUGGAAUUCUGAACACUUUGGGUACCACCAGAGUCAGAAUUCCCAGAGGAGGAGGCAGGCAUUUGAUAACGGAUGUCUGGAGGAUAUAGCAUGUUCAACCUUCCCCUCUCCAUGAGAGGAAGUGGUGACCUCAACCCCAGCACCCUCCUCUGCCCAUUCACACCCACCCACUCCCACCUCUCUGCCAGCCUCAGUUGGAUGUGGAGCAGAAUGUAAUGAGGACUUACCUGUCCACAAGGACUUCACAACUGUUCCAAGGCGAUGGAUGGGCAGGUGCUAACGCAGCCCCUCAGUGUCCCCCUUCCCUUGCUUUUGGGGUGGGCUUGGGGCCCCCGGGGGGUCCUAACUCACUGAAGAUACCAGGGCCCAGCUUCUGAGUAUUCCUAGAGGCCAUUUCUACCCCUAGAAACUUUACAUGGAGCCAAAAGCCCAUUUGAAGCUCAGUCUGGGCCAGGAGAGGCUAAUCAUAAAAGGGAUAUUUUUUAAGUGUACAGAAAUAAGAAUUUAUUUUUGAAGACAUGAUUUAUAUUUUGAAUGGCUAAUGCACUCACAUGAUUCAAAAUUCAAAAUUCCAAAAGAACCGACAGUGCAAAGUCGCUCCUCCUUUGGUCCCCACCACCCAGUUUCCCUCUGCAGAGGGAACCUUGUUGCCAGUUCUUGUGUAUUCUUCCAGAGAUCUUCUAUGUAUAAACCGUCAUCCUCCUAGGAA